CUUCCCAGCCCCGCCCGCCGCCCCGCGCCGCCACCUGCGGGCCGCCCUCCAGGAUGCCCGCCGGCCACGUCCUAGUCGCCUGGAGCCGCGCCCCGCCUUCCUCGCCCGCGGCUGCCCCUGCACUUUUACCCACGCCGUGGGGCACAGAGAAGUAUCCGGUAAAGACCUGGAUCCGGAAAAGCUGAUCACAUCCCUCCCCGAGCGCUUAUUUACUUCUAGCACUUCUCGGGGUCCUUCCAGAGUCAGUCUAAGAGAAGGAUGGGACCCCCGCGGCCCGGGGCGCUGAUUGUCGUGAACACAGUGGAAGUCCAGGCGUUCUGUUCCUGCAGGGCGGGCUGUCUCCUAGCAAAGCCGCCCUUAGGCUUAAAUGGAGGGAGGAUGGAGCCGGGGACGGGGGGAAGGCUGGAGGGGAUGGAACUGGCUGUUGGACUAAGAUGCCACCAAAGGGUGACAGGCAGGGGGCUGGCGGACAGCAGAGAGGGGAUCAGGAACCGAUCCAGGAAGUAAGAGCUCACAGGCCACUCUAUUAUGCAAAUCACUUGUGGACGGUUUAACAGGGAACAACCCACAUGAUCUCAUUUCCAGUUGAGGCUACUGAGUCUACUUCUUUUCAACCCAGGGGUCAUAGAGGACAUUGGGAGGACUUGAAGAAGACUCAGACCAGAACCAAAGGUGUAAGGAAACUAAACCCUGCAAAACCUGAUUUCUCAUACUGGCAUAGACUUGACUUGAAGAGAUCAUCAAGUGUAUAGUGAAGAUUGGCUCAGGCAAGAAUCAUCCAUGAAUGCUUACUCUAGGGGGCUGUUACUGGCUGGCAGAUAUUUGUCUGGGUUGAUGUGUCUCCCCAUAGAUGGUUUAGACCUGUUAGUAGCAAAAGCGGAAAUAGUAACUAUACAAAGAGGCAGGCAGACAGCAUCUUAACCAGGUGAUCAAAAUUUACAUCACCAAUGAGAGCAGAUGGAUAUCAUGUCCACAUCAGCUAUGCAGUAUUCCUGGGGACAAUGCAUAACCUGAAUCAUGAUAGUGAAACAUCGGACAAACCCAAAAUGAGGAACAUCUAUUAAAAAGAGGAAGGGUCUGUAUUAUUCAAAAAUGUCAAGGUCAUUAAAAUCAAAAGAAAGCUUGGGAAAUGUUCCAGAUUAAAGGGUGCAAAAGAGUCAGGGCAGCUAAAUGCCAUGCCUGAUCCUAGACUGCAUCCUGUGCUAGAGGAGGGGAAAUACAUCACGGACAUUCCAGCUGACAAAAUCAGAAUCCAUGUAAGAGAUUAAAGUAUUGGAUCAAUGUUAAAUGUACUGAUGUUGAUAACUUCCACUGUAA
rnacentral:lncRNA from 1 species